AUACGUAGGUGGCGAGCGUUGUCCGGAAUUACUGGGUGUAAAGGGAGUGUAGGCGGGACUGCAAGUCAGAUGUGAAAUUUAUGGGCUCAACUCAUAACCUGCAUUUGAAACUGUAGUUCUUGAGUGAAGUAGAGGCAAGCGGAAUUCCUAGUGUAGCGGUGAAAUGCGUAGAUAUUAGGAGGAACACCAGUUGCGAAGGCGGCUCUCUGGACUGUAACUGACACUGAGGCACGAAAGCGUGGGGAGC
rnacentral:rRNA from 1 species